rnacentral:RNase_P_RNA from 1 species
GCAGGCCGGGUGACCGCGGGCGUGCUGCUUCGGCGGCACGCGCGAGGAAAGUCCGGACACCGUAGGGCAGGACGCUGGGGAAACCCCAGACGGCGAAAGCCGAUGGACAGUGGCACAGAAAGGAGACCGCCGGAGCAGUGGCUGGUGACAGCUUCGGCUCCGGUAAGGGUGAAACGGUGGGGUAAGAGCCCACCAGCGCCGUGGUGACACGGCGGCUAGCCAAACCCCGUCCGGUGCAAGGCGAAGCAGGUUCCGUUGACGCAGCCCGCCGAGGAACCGGGUACGCCGCUCGAGCCGUCAGGUAACUGCCGGCCAAGAAAGAUGGUCACCCACGACAGGAUCCGGCUUACAGGCCUGCUAAU